AAUAUUGGACAAUGGGCGUAAGCCUGAUCCAGCCAUGCCGCGUGUGUGAAGAAGGUCUUCGGAUUGUAAAGCACUUUACGUUGGGAGGACGGGCAGUAAAGUAAUACCUUGCUGUUUUGAUGUUACAGUCAGAAUAAGACACGGAUAACUUCGUGCCAGCAGCCGCGGUAAGACGAAGGGUACAAGCGUUAAUCGGAAUUACUGGGCGUAAAGCGCGCGUAGGUGGUUUGUUAAGUUGGAAGUGAAAGCCCCGGGCUCAACCUGAGAACUGCUUUCAAAACUGGCAAGCUAUAGUAUGGCAGAGGGUAGUGGAAUUUCCUGUGCAGCGGUGAAAUGCGAAGAGAUAGGAAGGAACACCAGUGGCGAAGGCGACCACCUUGGCUAAUACUGAAACUGAGGUGCGAAAACGUGGGGAGCAAACA
rnacentral:rRNA from 1 species